CCUGUACCAGUUAAUUAGUGAUGGAGUGACGAAGAAGGAUAAUAUAUCCCGGGUGCUGGAUAUCCCGGGCUAAGCACAAAGAUGGCAAUGUUGGCAAAACCGCAUUGUGUUAACAUUGAAGUGUGAAAAUAGGGGAGUGAACGGUUCGCCUAGUAACGAAGUAUAUGACUCCACGCUUCCAAGAAAAGCUUCUAACUUAAUAAUUAMCUGCCUGUACCUAGAMCGAACACACGUGGUCAAGGAGAAAAUCCUAAGGCAAGCGAGAUAACUGUAGCUAAGGAACUCUGCAAAAUAACUCCGUAACUUCGGAAGAAGGAGUGCUCAUUUAUGAUGAGCCGCAGUAAAGAGGGAGGGGCAACUGUUUAACAAAAACACAGCUCUCUGCUAAGUCGCAAGACGAUGUAUAGGGGGUGACACCUGCCCAGUGCCGGAAGGUUAAAAGGAGAAGUCAG
rnacentral:rRNA from 1 species